ACUAUAUAUAUAUAUAUACAUCAAUUUAAUAAAAAGUUAUUCCAAGUUAUUCAGAAUAUAUUAGAGUAAACAUGAAGAAUUGGCAAUUAAUUUUAUUAUUUUUGGUAAAUUCUUGUUUGAUAUUUAAUGAAGCAAUUAAAACCAAAUACUCGGACAACGAAAAACUAUGUCAAAAAGGCACAACGUCAAAAGCUGCUAAAUAUGGUGACAUUGAAACAUUAAAAUUAGCUGUCAAGAAUAAAUGCGAAUGGGACGAAGAUACGAUUCAAAUGGCGGCAGAGAAUGGACAUUUAGAUUGCUUAAUAUACCUUCAUAAAAAUAAAUGUGAAUGGGAUGAAUCAGUAACGGCAGCAGCAGCUUUUUAUGGGCAUUUAGAUUGUUUAAAGUAUGCCCAUGAAAAUGGGUGUAAAUGGAACGAAAGCACAACUAGAGCUGCUGCUGUAAAGGGGUAUCUAAAUUGUUUUAAAUAUGCACAUAUUAAUGGAUGCGAAAUAGAUGGAGCUGUCACAGCAAUAGCUGCUUAUUAUGGAUAUAAAGAACUUUUAGAAUAUGCUAACCAAUAUGGAGGUAAAAUAAGUAUAGACACAAUUAGAGCUGCUGCUGGACAGGGACAUUUAGACUGCUUUCUUUAUGCCUAUAAAAGUGGUUGUGUGUGGGAUGAGACGGUAACAGCAGCAGCUGCUUUUAGCGGUAAUAUAAAUAUUUUAAGAUUCGUUCACGAAAAAGAGUUCCCCUGGGAUAAAUAUACAACAAUGAAUGCUGCUUUAAGUGGUAGUAUAGAGUCUUUAAAAUAUGCACAUACAGAACAUUGCGAAUGGGAUGAAACAGUAACGGCAGCAGCUGCUUAUAAUGGGCAUUUAGAUUGUUUAAUGUAUGCACGUGAAAAUAAAUGUAAAUGGGACGAAAGAACAACUAGAGCUGCUGCUGAAAAUGGGCAUAUAGAAUGUUUAAUGUAUGCAUAUGAAAAUGGAUGCAAAUGGGAUGAAAGUACAAUUAGAGUCGCUGCUGAAAAUGGGCAUAUAUAAUGUUUAAAAUACGCUCAUGAAAAAGGAUUUGAAUUUGAUGAAAGCAUAACUAUAGCUGCUGCAUCAAGCGGCUGUUUAGACUGUUUAAUAUAUGUUUACGAAAAUGGAUGUGGAUGUAUUAAGGGUUUAACUAUAGCAGCUGCAUCAAGUGGUAAUAUCGACUGUUUAAAGUAUGUCAACGAAAAGAAAUGUAAUUGAGAUGAGGGUACAACUAGAGCUGCUGCUGCAAGUGGUAGUAUCGACUGUUUAAAGUAUGUCCACGAAAAGAAAAGUAAUUGGGAUGAGGGUACAACUAGAGCUGCUGCAAAUGGACAUUUAGACUGCCUAAAAUAUGCCCAUGAACAUGGGUGUAAAUGGGAUGAAGGUACGACAAGAGAGGCUGCUGCAAAUGGACAUUUAGACUGCCUAAAAUAUGCCCAUAAAAAUGGAUGUAAUUGGGAUGAAGGUACGAUGAGAGAGGCUGCUGAAAAUGGACAUUUAGACUGCCUAAAAUAUGCCUAUAAAAAUGGUUGUGUAAGCGACGUAGACAUAACAAGAAUUGCUGAUUUAAAUAAACCAGUCAGUUACUUUCAUUACAAUUAUGGAGAAAUUGAAUUUAAUAAUAAUUUUGCACAACCAUUAGAUAAAUAUAUUGUUUUUAAAAGUACUCAAAAUGUUUACCCUGAUAUAAUCAAAUAUUGUACUAAAUAUAGAUAUUAGUUUUCUGUUCAAAUUUUUUAUUUCUAUAUUCAUUAAAAUAUUUCUUAGGCGUAUUUUUGACAUUUUACUUGUUUAAAUAAUAUUUAACUUCAUAAUAUAAAAAAAAUCAUAUAUAUUUUAUUAACA